AUGAACGUUGGCGGUGUGCCUAAUACAUGCAAGUCGAACGAAGAUGAUAGCAAUAUUGUCUUAGUGGCGAACGGGUGAGUAACGCGUUGGUGACCUACCCCAAAGUGUGGGAUAACAGUCCGAAAGGAUUGCUAAUACCGCAUGUGGUUAUCGGAUUUAGAAACUGAUAACUAAAGGAGCAAUUCGCUUUGGGAGGGACCUGCGUCCCAUCAGCUAGUUGGUGAGGUAAUGGCUCACCAAGGCUACGACGGGUAGGGGACCUGAGAGGGUGACCCCCCACAAUGGAACUGAAACACGGUCCAUACACCUACGGGUGGCAGCAGUAGGGAAUAUUGCACAAUGGGCGAAGGCCUGAUGCAGCAACGCCGCGUGUGCGAUGAAGGCCUUCGGGUCGUAAAGCACUUUUCUGAGGGAUGAGCAAGGACAGUACCUCAGGAAUAAGUCUCGGCUAACUACGU
rnacentral:rRNA from 1 species